rnacentral:rRNA from 1 species
UAGGGAAUCUUCGGCAAUGGGGGCAACCCUGACCGAGCAACGCCGCGUGAGUGAAGAAGGUUUUCGGAUCGUAAAGCUCUGUUGUAAGAGAAGAACGUGUGUGAGAGUGGAAAGUUCACACAGUGACGGUAACUUACCAGAAAGGGACGGCUAACUACGUGCCAGCAGCCGCGGUAAUACGUAGGUCCCGAGCGUUGUCCGGAUUUAUUGGGCGUAAAGCGAGCGCAGGCGGUUUAAUAAGUCUGAAGUUAAAGGCAGUGGCUUAACCAUUGUUCGCUUUGGAAUCUGUUAAACUUGAGUGCAGAAGGGGAGAGUGGAAUUCCAUGUGUAGCGGAGAAAUGCGUAGAUAUAUGGAGGAACACCGGUGGCGAAAGCGGCUCUCUGGUCUGUAACUGACGCUGAGGCUCGAAAGCGUGGGGAGCAAACAGG